rnacentral:tRNA from 1 species
GUAGACAUAGUUUAAGCAAAACACUAGAUUGUGAAUCUAGCAAUAGAGACCGAAAACUCUUGUCCACC